UGAGGAUUCAAAUCCAUCUGUCAAACUCUUCAUCUGUUAAAGUCUUUAUUAUAAUGAUUUUCUAUCAAAUUGUAUUGACUACUAUGUUAAUAAAUAAAAACACCUCUAGAUCAAUUAUAAAUAUGACAGGAGAUUCUAUAGCUGGAGACAACUCUGACUCUAAAGUUCAGGGGUCAAACUAGUUGACAUGGUGGGGGGUCAGUCAGACUGACGCCAGGCUUUUACUUCCUAGUAAACAAACGUUGUCUCAUCAUCCAAUCAAAAGUCUCUUCUGUUCCCCGCAGUGAGAUCGAACAGGGUAGAAUAGAAGGAGAAACAGGAAGCUCCUCCCUACUGAUAAAUAACACGUUUACGGAUCUAUUGUCUUGAUAUAUGAUCAUCAUGUACAUGCAUACUGCUGGUGACCCAGUAAGGGUGACAUGGUACAGGGUGGGCGGGGUUUAGAGAUGGAGGGCGGGGUUAGAGACAGAGGGCAGGGUUAGAGAUAGAGGGCGGGUUUAGAGACAGAGGGCGGGGUUAGAGAUGGAGGGCGGGGUUUAGAGAUGGAGGGCGGGGUUAGAGAUGGAGGGCGGGGUUUAGAGAUGGAGGGUGGGGUUAGAGAUGGAGGGCGGGGUUUAGAGAUGGAGGGCGGGGUUAGAGAUGGAGGGCGGGGUUAGAGAUGGAGGGCAGGGUUAGAGAUGGAGGACGGGGUUAGAGAUGGAGGGCGGGUUUAGAGAUGGAGGGCGGGGUUAGAGAUGGAGGGCGGGGUUUAGAGAUGGAGGGCGGGGUUAGAGAUGGAGGGCGGGGUUAGAGAUGGAGGGCGGGGUUAGAGACGGAGGGCGGGGUUGACUCUGAUCUCUAGUCUCCUACAAUAUAGAGACUGACUGGGAUCCACCAGUCUGAUAUGGUCUCCUACUAUAAAGAGACUGACUGGUCUCCUCCUAUAUAGAAACUGACUGGUCUCCUACUAUAUAGAGACUGGCUGGGAUCUACUAUAUAGAGACAGACUGGGAUCUACCAGUCUGAUAUGGUCUAUUACUAUAUAGAGACUGACUGGGAUCUACUAUAUAGAGACUGACUGGGAUCUACUAUAUAGAGACUGGCUGGGAUCUACCAGUCUGAUAUGAUCUCCUACUAUAUAGAGACUGACUGGGAUCUACUAUAUAGAGACUGACUGGGAUCUACCAGUCUGAUAUGAUCUCCUACUAUAUAGAGACUGACUGGGAUCUACUAUAUAGAGACUGACUGGGAUCUACCAGUCUGAUAUGGUCUCCUACUAUAUAGAGACUGACUGGGAUCCACCAGUCUGAUAUGGUCUCCUACUAUAUAGAGACUGACUGGUCUCCUACUAUAUAGAGACUGACUGGAAUCUACUAUAUAGAGACUGACUGGGAUCCACUAUAUAGAGACUGACUGGGAUCUACCAGUCUGAUAUGGUCUCCUACUAUAUAGAGACUGGAUGGGAUCUACUAUAUAGAGACUGGCUGGGAUCUACUAUAUAGAGACUGACUGGGAUCUACCAGUCUGAUAUGGUCUAUUACUAUAUAGCGACUGACUGUGAUCUACCAGUCUGAUAUGGUCUCCUACUAUAUAGAGACUGACUGGGAUCCACUAUAUAGAGACUGACUGGGAUCUACUAUAUAGAGACUGACUGGGAUCCACUAUAUAGAGACUGACUGGGAUCCACUAUAUAGAGACUGACUGGGAUCUACUAUACAGAGACUGACUGGGACCUACCAGGCUGAUAUGAUCUCCUACUAUAUAGAGACUGACUCUGAUCUACUAUGUAGAGACUGGCUGGGAUCUACUAUAUAGAGACUGGCUGGCAUCUACUAGUCUGAUAUGAUCUCCUACUAUAUAGAGACUGACUGGGAUCCACCAGUCUGAUAUGGUCUCCUACU
ensembl:lncRNA